rnacentral:lncRNA from 1 species
GAGAAGACAGAGAAAAUUCAAAAGGCAAAGCAGUGAUGAGACGAAGAGUGGCUCUAAACAGUUUUGUCCUAGGGCGGCGCGGUCAUUAUUACACUCGAAGUUUACCCCCUCAUCAGUCGGGCAAUAACUGACGAGAAGGUAAAGGGGCAAUUGAUGACCGCUGGAUUUCUCCACCCCGGUCAGGGGCCAAGCCCUCGAUCACGGCCCAUCGCUCGGAGGCCCACACGACCCCAAUACAAACAGGUCCAGCCCGUUCGAACCUUGAUACAGGGUCCAUAUGGAUUUCUCAACCAGGCCGACCCAGUCC